AGUUCACUGUCACUAAGGUUGGAAGAAACGUUAUCCAACAAGAACCAAAAAGUUUCCAUCUUAAGGAGUCAAACACUUUCAAAUCUACAAAUAUCAGAAAGAAGACAGUUUUCAUGUGCAAUCCACUUCAGUUAAUGAAGCCAAGAAAUAUUAAGGUACUAGGAAAAUGAAACUAGAACAACUUGUAUCAUUUAUGGCUUGACAGAAUUUAAAGGUCUCCUAGUUUCUUAUAAAAAAAAGCUCUACCAAUGAGUACCGACAUAAAAUCCAUGACAAUUUACACAAGUACCAAUUUAGCAAUAGCAAUAAGUACAGACAUAACAUCCAUGGCAAUUUACACAAGUAGCAAUAGUCAACCGCUAUAAGCAUACUAUUCAUGAUAAAAAAACAAAAUUGUAGCAUCCUAGCAGGUAUAUUGUUGGUAUCGAUAGGUUGUUUUCAAGUAUUUAUCUUGUUUCGUAAAGCAACAAUUCAAUAGUUUGUUUUAGCAUAU
rnacentral:lncRNA from 1 species